rnacentral:rRNA from 1 species
UGCAGGAGGACGACUUCUGCUGGAGCUUAUGGAAAAGCAAAUGUAGGUAUAAGUAACGAUAAGGAGGGUGAGAUUCCCUCCCGCCAUAAGACCAAGGUUUCCCGGGCCAUGUCAAUCAGCCCGGGGUCAGUCGGGUCCUAAGGCUCAGCCGAGCGGCGAUGCCGAUGGCCGACACGGUUAAUAUUCCGUGACUUCCCUUAUGAGCGAUGUGGUGACGGAGCAGUGGAACUGCCGCGGGCUGACGGAAUAGCCCGUUAACAGGUGUAGGAGCUGACUGGGACAGGCAAAUCCGUCCCAUGAUCCGACCCUUACAGUACCGGCCUCCCCUCGGGGCGGCUGGACAGCGCAG